rnacentral:rRNA from 1 species
CCUACGGGUGACAGCAGUGGGGAAUAUUGCACAAUGGGGGAAACCCUGAUGCAGCGACGCCGCGUGAGUGAAGAAGGAAUUCGUUAUGUAAAGCUCUAUCAGCAGGGAAGAAAAUGACGGUACCUGAGUAAGAAGCCCCGGCUAACUACGUGCCAGCAGCCGCGGUAAUACGUAGGGGGCAAGCGUUAUCCGGAUUGACUGGUGGGAAAGGGAGCGUAGACGGCAGUGCAAGUCUGGAGUGAAAGGCGGGGGCUAAACCCCCGGACUGCUCUGGAAACUGUACGGCUGGAGUGCAGGAGAGGUAAGUGGAAUUCCUAGUGUAGCGGUGAAAUGCGUAGAUAUUAGGAGGAACACCAGUGGCGAAGGCGGCUUACUGGACUGUAACUGACGUUGAGGCUCGAAAGCGUGGGGAGCAAACAGGAUUAGAUACCCUAGUAGUC